ACAAGCGGUGGAUCAUGUGUUAAUUCGAUGAUACGCGAAGAACCUUACCAGGUCUUGACAUCCCAUGCAAAGCUAUAGAGAUAUAGUGAGGUUAUCAUGGAGACAGGUGGUGCAUGGUUGUCGUCAGCUCGUGUCGUGAGAUGUUGGGUUAAGUCCCGCAACGAGCGCAACCCUUAUUGCUAGUUACCAUCAUUAAGUUGGGGACUCUAGCGAGACUGCCAGUGAUAAACUGGAGGAAGGUGGGGAUGACGUCAAAUCAUCAUGCCCCUUAUGACCUGGGCUACAAACGUGAUACAAUGGCUGAAACAAAGGGCAGCGAAGCAGUGAUGUGAAGCGAAACCCAAAAAAGCAGUCUCAGUUCGGAUUGAAGUCUGCAACUCGACUUCAUGAAGUCGGAAUCGCUAGUAAUCGCGAAUCAGAACGUCGCGGUGAAUACGUUCUCGGGGUUU
rnacentral:rRNA from 1 species